rnacentral:rRNA from 1 species
UGGGUAGUCCGUACGAGCGCACCUUGUCCCUAGUUGCCAGCACUUCAGGUGGGAACUCUAGGGAGACUGCCGGUGAUAAACCGGAGGAAGGUGGGGAUGACGUCAAGUCAUCAUGGCCCUUAUGGGCAGGGCUACACACGUGCUACAAUGGCCGGUACAGAGGGCGGCGAAGCCGCGAGGCGGAGCGAAUCUCAGAAAACCGGUCGUAGUCCGGAUUGCAGUCUGCAACUCGACUGCAUGAAGCCGGAAUCGCUAGUAAUCGCGGAUCAGAACGCCGCGGUGAAUACGUUCCCGGGCCUUGUACACACCGCCCGUCACACCAUGGGAGUGGGCUGUACCAGAAGUAGGUAGUCUAACCUUCGGGAGGACGCUUACCACGGUGUGGUUCAUGACUGGGGUGAAGUCGUAACAAGGUAGCCCUAGGGGAACCUGGGGCUGGAUCACCUCCUUU